AAGACCUUGCGCUUUUGGAGCGGCCGAUGUCUGAUUAGCUUGUUGGUGAGGUAAAAGCUUACCAAGGCUUCGAUCAGUAGCUGGUCUGAGAGGACGGCCAGCCACACUGGGACUGAGACACGGCCCAGACUCCUACGGGAGGCAGCAGUGGGGAAUUUUGGACAAUGGGGGCAACCCUGAUCCAGCCAUGCCGCGUGAGUGAAGAAGGCCUUCGGGUUGUAAAGCUCUUUCAGCCGGAACGAAACGGUUACGGUUAAUACCCGUGACUACUGACGGUACCGGAAGAAGAAGCACCGGCUAACUACGUGCCAGCAGCCGCGGUAAUACGUAGGGUGCAAGCGUUAAUCGGAAUUACUGGGCGUAAAGCGUGCGCAGGUGGUUUUGUAAGUCGGAUGUGAAKUCCCCGGGCUUAACCUGGGAACU
rnacentral:rRNA from 1 species